UCUAUUUUAAUAGUACACUACUUUACACAGGCUUUUCUUUUUCCAUUGUAGAAAUAGUCUUUUGAGAACAGUUUCUUUUCCAGAAAUAAUUAAUGUGAUAUGACCCUCCGUUAUGGAGUUAUACGAAUUUUUAGAUAUUCAUAAGGACAAGAAUUCAGCCUCAAAUCGAAGCUUAUCUUAUUUCUGUUGGUUACGGAUAAACCGAGUUGGGUCAAAGAAUUAGGCCAUCAUGGGUUGUUUGUCAUCACUUAUCAUCAAGAUGCCUACCGAUUCGUGAAAAAGGCGUAUUGUAUACUGAAACUGUAGUCUUAAAUGGCAUAAAUAUGCCUCAAACACAUCAGCAAUAAAUGGCAUGUUUUAGAAAUCAAUCAGAACGGCAAUACUCCACUUCACAAGUUGUUAAAAUUUAACCAUUCGUAUGGAGAUCACAUAGACGCAACAAAUUUCUUGAUAAAGGCUGGGGCAAAUGCCAAGUUAAAAAACCAGGAUGGUCAAACUCCAGCUGAAGUGUAUGUGAACAACAAAUGUAAGAAGUACUAUUCUACCAACAAAGAAAAACAAAAAGAAAUGCUCAUGCGUCUCCUACAAAGUGAGCUGUUCAUACGAACAUAAGUUCAU